CAAGACAACUUUACGGAGUUGACGAUUGACGGAGCGAAGCGACGUCAAAGCGUUCAUUAAAGUCGAGUUGGCUUAGGGAUACGUUCGUUGGGUAGGGGAGCGUUCUGUAAGCCUGUGAAGGUGUGUCGUGAGGCAUGCUGGAGGUAUCAGAAGUGCGAAUGCUGACAUAAGUAACGAUAAAGCGGGUGAAAAGCCCGCUCGCCGGAAGACCAAGGGUUCCUGUCCAACGUUAAUCGGGGCAGGGUGAGUCGACCCCUAAGGCGAGGCCGAAAGGCGUAGUCGAUGGGAAACGGGUUAAUAUUCCCGUACUUGGUGUUACUGCGAAGGGGGGACGGAGAAGGCUAUGUUGGCCGGGCGACGGUUGUCCCGGUUUAAGCGUGUAGGUGUGUGUUCCAGGUAAAUCCGGUUCACUUUAACACUGAGGCGUGACGACGAGGCACUACGGUGCUGAAGCAACAAAUGCCCUGCUUCCAGGAAAAGCCUCUAAGCAUCAGGUAACACGAAAUCGUACCCCAAACCGACACAGGUGGUCAGGUAGAGAAUACCAAGGCGCUUGAGAGAACUCGGGUGAAGGAACUAGGCAAAAUGGUGCCGUAACUUCGGGAGAAGGCACGCUGACACGUAGGUGAAGUGAUUUACUCAUGGAGCUGAAGUCAGUCGAAGAUACCAGCUGGCUGCAACUGUUUAUUAAAAACACAGCACUGUGCAAACACGAAAGUGGACGUAUACGGUGUGACGCCUGCCCGGUGCCGGAAGGUUAAUUGAUGGGGUCAGCGUAAGCGAAGCUCCUGAUCGAAGCCCCGGUAAACGGCGGCCGUAACUAUAACGGUCCUAAGGUAGCGAAAUUCCUUGUCGGGUAAGUUCCGACCUGCACGAAUGGCGUAAUGAUGGCCAGGCUGUCUCCACCCGAGACUCAGUGAAAUUGAACUCGCUGUGAAGAUGCAGUGUACCCGCGGCAAGACGGAAAGACCCCGUGAACCUUUACUAUAGCUUGACACUGAACAUUGAGCCUUGAUGUGUAGGAUAGGUGGGAGGCUUUGAAGUGUGGACGCCAGUCUGCAUGGAGCCGACCUUGAAAUACCACCCUUUAAUGUUUGAUGUUCUAACGUGGACCCGUAAUCCGGGUUGCGGACAGUGUCUGGUGGGUAGUUUGACUGGGGCGGUCUCCUCCUAAAGAGUAACGGAGGAGCACGAAGGUUGGCUAAUCCUGGUCGGACAUCAGGAGGUUAGUGCAAUGGCAUAAGCCAGCUUGACUGCGAGCGUGACGGCGCGAGCAGGUGCGAAAGCAGGUCAUAGUGAUCCGGUGGUUCUGAAUGGAAGGGCCAUCGCUCAACGGAUAAAAGGUACUCCGGGGAUAACAGGCUGAUACCGCCCAAGAGUUCAUAUCGACGGCGGUGUUUGGCACCUCGAUGUCGGCUCAUCACAUCCUGGGGCUGAAGUAGGUCCCAAGGGUAUGGCUGUUCGCCAUUUAAAGUGGUACGCGAGCUGGGUUUAGAACGUCGUGAGACAGUUCGGUCCCUAUCUGCCGUGGGCGCUGGAGAACUGAGGGGGGCUGCUCCUAGUACGAGAGGACCGGAGUGGACGCAUCACUGGUGUUCGGGUUGUCAUGCCAAUGGCACUGCCCGGUAGCUAAAUGCGGAAGAGAUAAGUGCUGAAAGCAUCUAAGCACGAAACUUGCCCCGAGAUGAGUUCUCCCUGA
rnacentral:rRNA from 1 species